CUGCCCUUUGUACACACCGCCCGUCGCUACUACCGAUUGAAUGGCUCAGUGAGGCGUCCGGACUGGCCCAGAGAGGUGGGCAACUACCACUCAGGGCCGGAAAGCUCUCCAAACUCGGUCAUUUAGAGGAAGUAAAAGUCGUAACAAGGUCUCCGUUGGUGAACCAGCGGAGGGAUCAUUACCGAGUUUACAACUCCCAAACCCCUGUGAACAUACCACUUGUUGCCUCGGCGGAUCAGCCCGCUCCCGGUAAAACGGGACGGCCCGCCAGAGGACCCCUAAACUCUGUUUCUAUAUGUAACUUCUGAGUAAAACCAUAAAUAAAUCAAAACUUUCAACAACGGAUCUCUUGGUUCUGGCAUCGAUGAAGAACGCAGCAAAAUGCGAUAAGUAAUGUGAAUUGCAGAAUUCAGUGAAUCAUCGAAUCUUUGAACGCACAUUGCGCCCGCCAGUAUUCUGGCGGGCAUGCCUGUUCGAGCGUCAUUUCAACCCUCAAGCCCUCGGGUUUGGUGUUGGGGAUCGGCGAGCCCUUGCGGCAAGCCGGCCCCGAAAUCUAGUGGCGGUCUCGCUGCAGCCUCCAUUGCGUAGUAGUAAAACCCUCGCAACUGGAACGCGGCGCGGCCAAGCCGUUAAACCCCCAACUUCUGAAUGUUGACCUCGGAUCAGGUAGGAAUACCCGCUGAACUUAAGCAUAUCAAUAAGCGGAGGAA
rnacentral:rRNA from 1 species